rfam:Gossypium hirsutum cultivar TM-1 chromosome 19, whole genome shotgun sequence
UGUUAAAAAUUUUAUUCAUUUGUACUAUUAAAAAUUAAAGUGGUUGAUGGAAUAACCAAACACUGACACGUGGUGUGCCACGUGUAUCUUAUACUGAUAUACAAUGACCAGUUUUUAACCGUAGAAGUUUAUUAAAUUUUUAACA